UAUUUCCCGAUUUUAAAGGAGUUAAUGGUUUAUGUUGGUUGGUGUUUCAUCAUCAUCAAUAAUGGGUUGUUGGUAGUGAUAUGUUAUUCGUCUUUGUUGGUUUCUGGUUUUUCAAGAAAUGAAUUUAAUUCAUGCGUUUUGUUUAAAGUUUAUUGUUGGUUUAUUGCUUUUUAUUUGAUGUUAAGGUUAGGGGGGACUAGCUCCUUAUUUUAUUUUUAUAACUUUGUGUUUGGUUAUUUAGCUUUGUGGAUUUUAUGGUGAUUUUCAAUUUGAUUAUGUUAAAAUUUUAUUUGUUCUUUUUUUUAUUUAUUUGUGGUUUGGUCUAUUUAUUGGAAUGUUUUCUUUAUUUUGUUUAUGGUUGGUAAUUAUAAUGGAAUUAGUAAAUUUUAUUUUUAUAAUGUUUUUUGGUGUUAAUUUCUUUUAAGGAAUUAGGCAAAUAUUUUUAUGUCCGCCUGUUUAACAAAAACAUCUUUUCUUGUUAGUCUCUGAAGUAUGGCCUGCCCGCUGACGUAUAUUUGAGUUGAAGGGCCGCGGUAUUUUGACCGUGCAAAGGUAGCAUAGUCAUUAGUUCUUUAAUUGUGAUCUGGUAUGAAUGGCUUGACGAGACAUGGGCUGUCUUGAUUAUGGAUUUAUUGUUGAAUUUGGAGUUUAAGUUAAAAUUCUUAGAUGUUUUUAUGGGACGAGAAGACCCUAUAGAGUUUGACAUUUGAUUGUGUAUUUCUCAUUGUUUGUUUUGAAUUUUUGCAUAUCUUUUGUUUUGUUGGGGUGAUGGGAGGAAAUUAUUUAACUCCUCUUUUAUGUGGUAUAUUGAUUUAUAUUUAUUUUGAU
rnacentral:rRNA from 1 species